CCUACGGGGGGCAGCAGUGGGGAAUAUUGCACAAUGGGGGAAACCCUGAUGCAGCGACGCCGCGUGGGCGAGGAAGUACCUCGGUAUGUAAAGCCCUAUCAGCAGGGAAGAAACAGGACAGUACCUGACUAAGAAGCCCCGGCUAACUACGUGCCAGCAGCCGCGGUAAUACGUAGGGGGCAAGCGUUAUCCGGAUUCACUGGGCGUAAAGGGAGCGCAGGCGGCAUGGCAAGUCUGAUGUGAAAACCCGGGGCCCAACCCCGGGAGUGCAUUGGAAACUGCCAGGCUGGAGUGUCGGAGGGGUA
rnacentral:rRNA from 1 species